GAAGAGCCCAAGAUUGAAAGCUGGCGUCUUCGGCGUCCGCAUUGUAAUCUCAAGAAGUGUUUUCCGCUUCGGACCAUGCCUAAGUCCCUUGGAAAAGGGCAUCAUAGAGGGUGAUAAUCCCGUACAUGGCAUGGAGCGCCCGAAGCUUUGUGAUACGCUUUCUACGAGUCGAGUUGUUUGGGAAUGCAGCUCAAAAUGGGUGGUAAAUGCCAUCUAAGGCUAAAUAUUGGGGAGAGACCGAUAGCGAACAAGUACAGUGAUGGAAAGAUGAAAAGAACUUUGAAAAGAGAGUUAAACAGUACGUGAAAUUGCCAAAAGGGAAGGGUAGGAGGUCAGAGAUGCGUCUUGGGAUUCAGCCUUGCUUUUGCAUGGUGUUUUUCCCAAGUUGCAGGCCAACGUCGGUUUUGGGCACUGGAGAAGGGUAGGAGGAACGUGGCACCUCUCGGGGUGUGUUAUAGCCUCCUACUGGAUACAGCGACCGAGACCGAGGAACGCAGCGUACUCGUAAGAGCGGGCCUUUUGGCACCUUUACGCUUAGGGCGUUGGCAUAAUGGCCCUCUACCACCCGUCUUGAACACGG
rnacentral:rRNA from 1 species